AUCGCUUCUCGGCCUUUUGGCUAAGAUCAAGUGUAGUAUCUGUUCUUAUCAGUUUAAUAUCUGGUACGUCCUCUAUCUGAGGACAAUAUAUUAAAUGGAUUUUUGGAGCAGGGAGAUGGAAUAGGAGCUUGCUCCGUCCACUCCACGCAUCGACCUGGUAUUGCAGUACCUCCAGGAACGGUGCACCCCCU
rnacentral:snRNA from 3 species